rnacentral:rRNA from 1 species
GUAGCGAACAGGAUUAGAUACCCUGGUAGUCCAUGCCGUAAACGAUGAGUGCUAGGUGUUGGAGGGUUUCCGCCCUUCAGUGCCGGAGCUAACGCAUUAAGCACUCCGCCUGGGGAGUACGACCGCAAGGUUGAAACUCAAAGGAAUUGACGGGGGCCCGCACAAGCGGUGGAGCAUGUGGUUUAAUUCGAAGCUACGCGAAGAACCUUACCAGGUCUUGACAUCUUGCGCCAACCCUAGAGAUAGGGCGUUUCCUUCGGGAACGCAAUGACAGGUGGUGCAUGGUCGUCGUCAGCUCGUGUCGUGAGAUGUUGGGUUAAGUCCCGCAACGAGCGCAACCCUUGUUACUAGUCGCCAGCAUUAAGUUGGGCACUCUAGUGAGACCGCCGGUGACAAACCGGAGGAAGGUGGGGACGACGUCAGAUCAUCAUGCCCCUUAUGACCUGGGCUACACACGUGCUACAAUGGACGGUACAACGAGUCGCAAACUCGCGAGGGCAAGCAAAUCUCUUAAAACCGUUCUCAGUUCGGACUGCAGGCUGCAACUCGCCUGCACGAAGUCGGAAUCGCUAGUAAUCGCGGAUCAGCAUGCCGCGGUGAAUACGUUCCCGGGCCUUGUACACACCGCCCGUCACACCAUGAGAGUUUGUAACACCCAAAGUCGGUGGGGUAACCUUUUAGGAGCCAGCCGCCUAAGGUGGGACAGAUGAUUAGGGUGAAGUCGUA